UAUCCUAUGCUCUCCUUUCGGAAGUAAG
rnacentral:sRNA from 1 species